AAAAGCGAAGAGGAAAAAAAUAAAUACCAGCAAAUCCUUGCAUAAUCAUUAUUGCCACAGAAAUAGGAAAUAUUGUUACCUCACUAGCCUUACACUGCAGGGACAGGUAGGAUUUGUUUUCUUUGUGUUGUCCACGACGGCCCGCCAUUCAUCCAAGCAAGCUCUUAUAUAAAUGUCAGUUCAGUUUAAUCAAGAUUCAGUGCCUGAAUACAUCCCGACAAAGGCAGGACGGCCGGCACAGAUGCUGGUGCGAGCCGUGCACCUGACGUCACCAGACUUUCAGGCAAAAAUGCAUCGGCUCAUGAAGACAGAGAAGUAUGUAAAUGAUAAAUCAAUGAGCGCACGCAACUCUCCUCACGACGGACAGAGCGUGGGCUGAGAUUCUGCCGGCUGCGUCUGAUAGAUAGUGGCUGUACUUCUCAUGCUUUUUCUCAAUUGCAAAAAAUCUGAUGUGAAGUGCAGUUCCGGAGUAUUUGAAAUGGCGGCGAAGGAGGACACACAAAACGGAUAAACAAUUAAAACUAGCAGGCCCUGAGUAGCAGUAACAUCAAGCAUCACCAAGGAUCACAGAGAAGAGCAUACAGUCUACACAUUCAACUGCUUUCAUAUCCCUUUAUUGGAUUUUGUAACGAAAAACAAGCUUAUUAUUUUCUUUGAAAAUGAUCAUAACUGCGCAAGAAGUGUUAAAUGCCUUAAAAGUUUCAGCGAUGUUGAUUGAAAAGCUAAAUAGCUACUUCUGUGCUUACUGCAUCGGAAAUCGUCAUUAGAACUACCAUUUGUAUUUAUUGUACAACAGGAACAAAAAUGUCUGACAGCCUCCCGAUUCCGCUUGAGCUGGUGCUGCUCAGUUAGGCCUGUAGAUAUAAUAUUAUGACGGCCACGAAGUCAGAAUCACUUGGCAUCUUCUAGUCUUGUCUGUGAGUUAAAGCCUUGAGGAAAAUCUCGAGAACAUUAGCUUCAUGAUUGCUGGAAGUGACUACCUUCGCUAGUCUCCUCUCCAUGUCUGAAAACGUGAGCGCGUCUCGCCACAUCUUUGAGAGAUCAACACAAGAAAACACCUUGAAUUUUACCAUGCCCAAAGUCGUGACAUCCAGUGAGGAUGAAGAAAGUGGUGGAUGGACCCUUGAUCGUACGCCUUGGAUUCCAGCUCUGGUCAUGGCUGUGGCCAUGUUGAUCUUUCUGUCCUUGUCUUUUUACAAUCACCACAAGCGCGUGCGACGAAAAAAAGAAAUAAUCAUGGAUUACCUGACGACCUUGCUGUAUAGCGACGUGUGGUCUCGUGGCAGGUCGGUCAGUAUUCUUUGUCACACCAACAGCAUUUCUUUCGACGAACUGGGACGAUCUUUUAAGAUUAAGAGCAAAGAAGAAAAAGAGCCUCAAGAUAUCAUGAGGGAAAGAUAUAUCAAAGACUUAGUAGCCACCAUAACCAGGAAUACAAAAAGCAGCUUGAAAAGAAUCGUCUCCGCGCCCAGUGAAUACAGGUUCAACCGAAUCAGUGGGCCCAUCACCGCAGACAAGAAAGCUUUCAGCAUGAGCUUGAUGGACCACCAGGUGAGCCUGGACGCAGGCCAGUUUGUCCCUUCUGACUUUCGAAGCGUGACAAGGGGUCACCCGAAUUUAAAGGAAGCGUAUCCAAUGGAAUCCUUCUGAAUCCAAAGGCAAGAUUUUAUAACCCAAAAUACUCGCCGUCUUUUCAUGAUAUUUCCAGCGGUGAUGAUCUAGACAAUUUGGAAGCAAGAGGAGAAACUACAAACCAGCCUUGGCAGCCAAAGGGUAGUAAUUGUAGAAGAACAAUGGAUGACACCAUCUUGCACGAGGAAAGAUAUGCCGACAAACCACCAAGUCGUGUUUCGGCUGUUGAGACUCAGCGUGUACGUAAGUCUGGAUCUUUACACGAAAGUCACAGGAGUGUAGAAUCAUGUUACGGAAAACUGUUGCGAGCGAAAGCAUCUCGCACAAACUCGCUAUACGAGAUUUCUUCGGACGACCCCAAGUCAUUCUGCACUUCGAUGUGUCCACAAGAUGUGUCUGGAGUUCACACGACGGUAUUCUCUUUGGCAGACUGUCAUUCUAAUGCUCUGCAUCUGGACUCUUCUGGUGAAGUAAGAGAAACCUACUCAAGAAACACAAACUCACUGCCAUUUGCCAACUACAGACAAAUACAGACUCUGACAAACGUAAAAUCUUCCUUAGCAGGAGAAGGGAAGGACAAGGAUGGACGCACUCUGGUUGCACUCAGUCUUUCACCUACGGAGGCAAGCAUCGACCGAAGUCAAGGAGUCCCCUCUGUGUUAUUGACAACGACCAAAAUACCAAAGUUUCAUUCUGGGUGCAUACAGAUCAUGUCAGUUCUAACAGUUGUGAAGACGUUUCUGACGUGUCCGAAGAACUCUACACGUCAUUUCCGUCACACAGUUCCGGAAGCAUCGAGAGCAGCUCUGAUGAGACUCGUCUUGCAGCUUCGCGUUCUGACGACAGACUCGACAAACUAGUCUACAAUCAUCAGCGAAACCCCAUUGACCUAAACGUGAUGCGGCAUUCUUCCAAAACUGACUAUAACCCAAUGUUGCCUGCAGAGAUCCAAGCCGUGCCUUCUUCCUCUUCUCUUCAGGUCUUCUUGCCUGUGGUUCUCAGUGGACAACCGCCUGUCUCCACUCCUGUCGGUGCCCGCCUCCAUGUUGCUAAAUACCUGAAAACUUGUUCAGGGCUCGCCAGAAGCGUUCAGGCAUGCAGAAAGGAUGAUGCAAGAAGUUCCGGGCAGGAUAGCAAGGACAAUAACCCUAAACUCCGAAGUAUUCUUAAAAAGACUCUUUCCACGCAGUCCACAACCGCACUGCUUCUUGAUGGUAACAUGGCGACCUCGGAAUGGCGUAGCCAUGACUAUGGACCAGAAGGUGACGAGUGUGUUGGUGCACGGGACGGGGUGGACAGCAUGACACAACAGCGGACUGGGACGAAAGACAUUCUACCGAAAGACGGGGAGCUGAGCAGUCAGCGAUUGCAAAUUCACUUCCAAGGAGAUCGGGGCGGAAAGGUGUCCGGGAGAUGAGUUUUCCCGAAACAUCCACGAAUCUCUGGGACAUGUCGGGUUCCACGGGUAGUCUGGGACCCGCGAGCACGAGGUCGUGGAGUGGAGAAGGAUCUCUCACAGACGGACUCGCGACAACCUUGUCACUGGAGGCACUGCCCACGCAGGACAGUUCGCGCUUCUGCUCCAACUUGCACAGGCUGCCUCGCUUCCAGGUCCGCUCCAGCAUGCAACAGCGUCUGAAGCUGUCCAGCAGUAACGAACAUAUCCAAGAACUCAGGAGGAGAGAUCAAGACGAGCGGCACAGCCUUCAGGACACCAGACCCUUUUAUAUCAGCGAGCAGAACGUCACAACAAUUUAAUACAAUCUGCUCUGACCGGGCACGUCACGCCAAUAGCAGAGCGCGUAACAUCGAAAACAUGCGACUGCGGUAGACGCAUGACGUCACACCAAUCCGACGAUACAGCAGAGGCAGAGGAUGUGACAGCACAUAGGCUAACAGCUGUCAGCACGUCAUUUUGACUGCGCUUGCGCAGAAAGGGACAUACCUCUGUAUUCUCUGUGGUCUCGUAAUCGCACAUACAUGUACAGGGUGUACACACAAAUUGUGCACACAUUAUUAUGCCAAAAUGUGUUAUUCCAUAAAAGUUAUAUCGCCUUAUUAUAAUUAAAUGUGACAUUUGAUUAUUGAGUUGUUUACCAUGUACUAUGUACUGGUAUACUGUGGCACGUACCCGCUGGAAAGUUGUGUAAGAUUUUCUUUAGGGCAUAUGUCAAAAUUAUGGUGUGCAAAAAAGCACGUUAUACAGAAUUGUGUAAGAUACCAAGACAGUAAAUUUUAUAUGAAAGCUUGAGGAAAGUUCAGUCAGUUAAUUUUUAUAUUCUACAACGGCAGACCAACGACGAGAAAUGUCGAAUUUAUAAAAUUUCCAACUUAAAAAAAAUCACAUUGAUCUUCAUUUUCCAUUUUUUUUCCCCCGCACGAAAGGAAAUAAAACUUGUAGAAACUGUGCAGAGCUUAGCGCUUUUGUCAAGAUACUGAGGAGCCUAAAGAAAUAUACGCUCAGAAUAGUCGGCAUCGUGAUCGAAGUGCCAUGCAGAGUUGGCAGUUUGCCAUAAACUACCACAGCAAAAACUAACUUUAAAACAGGGUCUGAAAAGACUCUUUCAUAUUUUAUGUCAGUUGAUAAACUUUUCAACAUCUUCCUUUCCCCUUCUACGGUUGGUUUACAUAGAUCCCAGGGAUAAUUGUCUCAACGGCGAUCAAUACAGAAGUAAGUAUACAUGGACAGAUACUGAAGUGAUACCACUGCCUCGUAAUAUUUUAAUCUAAUUUUCUUCUAAUAAUAGUAUUUUUAAACUGGCCACGAGUGGUUCGUUUGUUUGUUUUGAAAUUAAUGGUCAUACAAAAUGAGUAAUGCAGUUUAUAGUUCACAAUGAUUUCAACUGUAAGCUGUAUUUGUAUCGCUCAACCGUCUUCCCUCGAAAGUAACAAUUUGGAGCAUUUACAAGUAUUUUUUUUAAGUGUUGGUUUGUGUAGCCAGGUGACAUUCGUACUGUUGUUAUUGUUACUGUUGUUGUUGUUGUUCAGUCGUUGAACCCGUCCUCCAAGCAAUAACCGCAAAGGCAAAUUUUUAUUUUUUCAUUGUAUGACUUUCAUUUGUCGUUCUUGGCUUGAAACCCUACUGUUUAUAUAUAUAAUAAAGAGGAGAGAAUAGCACUAUACUAUUUUCCAUUAUGAAUAUGUGCCCAUCAGGAAAUGUUUGAAAGAAAUGUUAUGACAACGCUUCGAUUGCUUUAAUAAUGCAGAACUUUUCAUUUAUUUUAAACACAACUUUUGAAGUUGUAAAAUGGGGCUUGUUAUGCAUCCCUUUUAUGAAUACCUUUGUUUUUACUGCAUCAAGUGUAAGACUACAUAUAUUGUUUUCUGAUGAGACAAAAAGCAUUGUUUAAUUCCUAUGUUGUUUUGUUUAGAAAUCCAGAUUCGCGAGCAACAAUGUACACUAUGUUAAAAAAAACAAAUCUUUUAUAGCAACUUCCUGAUUGCGAUCUUGCAUAUGAAUCCUUCUAUGCAUGUUUAAUGCGAUCCUGGAGAAUUUGCAAUGGCCAGUAAGUGCUUGAUGUGAGAUUGUGGCAAUGUCCUACAUGGGGAAAGAACCAGGACUGGACUGCUACCAUAAACGUUCACAAGCUCCAUUCAGAAAGGGAGAUAACUUGAUACAGAUGGCGCCAGCAUAGACAUCUGCCAGAAUGAGGGUGUCCAGUCACUUAAUCCCCAGACGCUUACUCCCCAGACACUUAAUCCCCGACGCUUCAUCCUUAAAAUGA